rnacentral:lncRNA from 1 species
UGCUCUCUUCUCUCUUCUACAUCCCAUCCCUUCUCUCUUCUCUCCUGUAGAGAGUUGGGAGGAGGGCUUGUCUAGGCUGCUCAUUCUCUUUUCUCCACUUGCCCUUUCUAUUAUGGUUUGGCUCAAGCCUUUCACCUCUUGUCUCCCUGCCGUGACUUCUCCUCCUAGGAAUGAAAUCUGGUCAAGCUUGGCGCAUUCAGGGGUCGGGGGUUCCUGCUGCCAAACCAGUGCUGAACAAUGUGCCUCCCUGCAGCUGGGCUGGAGGAGUUGAUCCUGGGAAAGAAAAUCUGUCUCUGUCUGUGGAAGCAUAAAUCACCGGACCUUGGACCAGCAGAACAGCCACCUCCAGGGUGCUGCCAGUCCCUGCCCACUGAAGAGCAAAGCAUAUUCCCACUCCGAAUCUGAGUCUGGUCAUCUGACUCGCCUUGGCUGGUGCGAUGUGAACAGAUAUGAAGCAAGUAGAAGCGGAACCAGCAUUUCUGCCCGAGCUCCUCGACCCUGCCUCAGUUUGAGGACAGGCCUGAGGCCGAGACUCUGAAGCCUGCUCAAGGCUGUCUGAAAUCAGCUGACACCUACCACCCCCAAACCUGUGUGCAAGACAGGUUUAGAUCAGAAGUACCUCUUGGCCCACCCCAGCCAACCCCAGAUUUAUGAGCCCUAAUCACACUGCUGCAUGGGGAGGCUCAGGGCUGGUUGUUACACACCAUUACUGUGGCAGUAGAUGACUGAUACACUAUGGCUUAGCCAUAGGCUCUCCAGGACCUAGGAGUCAGCACUGUAUGUAUUUCUUAGGAAAAAAAUGUGCAUAAUAAAUUUUACUGAAGACCUCCAGAAGAAGUCUGAGGGCUUGGACAUCACCUAAAUCGGUGAAUUUCCAUUCACCACAGCUUCCCCCUUCUUUGGCUGGGACCCCCUGACUUAUUUUGCCAGCACACAGCGGGCCAGCAUGAAUCUGCUGCUUGUCCGCUCCCCAAGACCUCACCUUUCUUCACAGAACAAAGCAGCCAGUCCCA